GCGCCAUCUGUUGGUUUGAAAAGAUAUUUAAGUACGUGCAUGAUAUACCUACCAUUUACAAAAAAAUCUGUAUAUAUUUAUCGGAAUAUGAAAAGCAGAUACCCACAGACCAGUCAAGUAAGCCAGAGAAAUCUUGUAGUGAUAGUCCAAGCCGUCUUGGGCUAGCCUCCUGACGUGAUCAGAUAGCUAGAAACUCUCCUUCCUGUGUAAGCUUGGUGACGAGUUACUACAAAGAAAAUUUCAACUGUCCUUCCUGUGUAAGCUUGGUGACGAGUUACUACAAAGAAAAUGUCAACUGUCCUUCCUGUGAUUAAGAUUGGAGAUUUUAUGCGAUUUUGAAGAUCGAGUUGAUAAACUGCAGAAGUCUAGGGUGAUUUAUGAACCCAAGUGCCCGAGAUGUAACCUGGAAUAUGUAGGAUCUGCCAGGACGAAACUUGAAAGUCGUAUAACAGAACACUGAAACUUGCGAACCAGUUACUUUACUAGCGUUACAUCACAUGUUUUGGAAGAUUGUAACGUACUUUCGACAUAAAGUCAUUUUAACAUAUUAAUGCAAGGUCAACAUGAAAGAAAAUGACGACUUUUGGUAGCCUUGACCACAUUGGAUAGGAAACUAGCUUUCAACCUGAAGACCGGUAUUUUACUAU